rnacentral:rRNA from 1 species
ACGAACGCUGGCGGCGUGCUUAACACAUGCAAGUCGAACGGAAAGGCCUCUUUCGGGGGGUACUCGAGUGGCGAACGGGUGAGUAACACGUGAGUAGCCUGCCCUUGACUUUGGGAUAACUUCAGGAAACUGGGGCUAAUACCGGAUAGGAGCUCCUGCUGCAUGGUGGGGGUUGGAAAGUUUCGGCGGUUGGGGAUGGACUCGCGGCUUAUCAGCUUGUUGGUGGGGUAGUGGCUUACCAAGGCUUUGACGGGUAGCCGGCCUGAGAGGGUGACCGGCCACAUUGGGACUGAGAUACGGCCCAGACUCCUACGGGAGGCAGCGGUGGGGAAUAUUGCACAAUGGGUGGAAGCCUGAUGCAGCAACGCCGUGUGCGGGAUGACGGCCUUCGGGUUGUAAACCGCUUUCGCUCAUGACGAAGCUUUGUGUGACGGUAGUGGGUAAAGAAGCACCGGCUAACUACGUG